rnacentral:rRNA from 1 species
UACAGAGGGUGCGAGCGUUAAUCGGAAUUACUGGGCGUAAAGGGUGCGUAGGUGGUUUUGUAAGUUAGGUGUGAAAGUCCUGGGCUUAACCUGGGGAUUGCGCCUGAUACUGUGAGACUAGAGUAUUGUAGAGGGAAGUGGAAUUUCCGGUGUAGCGGUGAAAUGCGUAGAUAUCGGAAGGAACAUCAGUGGCGAAGGCGACUUUCUGGACAAAUACUGACACUGAGGCACGAAAGCAUGGGGAGCAAACAGGAUUAGAUACCCUGGUAGUCCAUGCUGUAAACGAUGAAGACUGGCUGUUGGUUACCUACGGGUAAUUAGUAGCGAAGCUAACGCGUUAAGUCUUCCGCCUGGGGAGUACGGCCGCAAGGUUAAA